rnacentral:rRNA from 1 species
UGCAGUGGAGCGACGAACCAGGGCUUGCCCUGGGGCAGAGCCGCGAACGGGUGAGUAACACGUGGGUAACGUGCCCCGAUGACUGGGACAACCCGGGGAAACCCGGGCUAAUACCGGAUAUGCCCCCCGCCGACUGGCGGGUGUGUAAAGGAAGCUUCGGCCUCCGCAUUGGGAUCGGCCCGCGGCGCAUUAGCUUGUUGGUGAGGUAACGGCUUACCAAGGCAACGAUGCGUAGCUGGUCUGAGAGGACGAUCAGCCACACUGGGACUGAGACACGGCCCAGACUCCUACGGGAGGCAGCAGUGGGGAAUCUUGCACAAUGCGCGAAAGCGUGAUGCAGCAACGCCGCGUGAGGGAAGACGGCCUUCGGGUUGUAAACCUCUUUCAGUUGGGACGAAGGUCGGCGGGUUAAUAGCCCGUCCGGCUGACGGUACCUUCACAAGAAGCCCCGGCUAACUACGUGCCAGCAGCCGCGGUAAUACGUAGGGGGCAAGCGUUGUCCGGAAUCAUUGGGCGUAAAGAGCGUGUAGGCGGCCUGAUAAGUCGGCUGUGAAAGUCAAGGGCUCAACCCUUGAAUGCCGGCCGAUACUGUCAGGCUAGAGUCCGGAAGANGCGAGUGGAAUUCCUGGUGUAGCGGUGAAAUGCGCAGAUAUCNNAGGAACACCGAUGGCGAAAGGCAGCUCGCUGGGACGGUACUGACGCUGAGACGCGAAAGCGUGGGGAGCGAACAGGAUUAGAUACCCUGGUAGUCCACGCCGUAAACGAUGGGCACUAGNGGUGGGAGGUGUCGACUCCUUCCGUGCCGAAGCUAACGCAUUAAGUGCCCCGCCUGGGGGAGUACGGCNGCAAGGCUAAAACUCAAAGGA